rnacentral:rRNA from 1 species
GAUGAACGCUGGCGGCGUGCUUAACACAUGCAAGUCAUGGGGGCCCGGAACGCGCAAGCUUGGGGCGAACCGGCGAACGGGUGCGUAACACGUGAGCAACCUACCCAGGUGUGGGGGAGUAGCCGUCCCAACGGACGGGUAAUACCGCAUACGCUCGACACGAGGCAUUUCGAGUCGAGGAAACCUUACGGGGCGACCAUGAGGGGCGUCGCGGCCUAUCAGCUAGUUGGCGAGGUAACGGCUCACCAAGGCUACGACGGGUAGCUGGUCUGAGAGGAUGACCAGCCACAUUGGGACGUGAGAAACGG